ACGAUGGAGAGUUUGAUCCUGGCUCAGGAUGAACGCUAGCGGCAGGCCUAAUACAUGCAAGUCAAGGGGCUCGCAAGAGCACCGGCGGACGGGUGCGUAACGCGUACACAACGUACCUUAGAGCGGGGGAUAGCAUUGGGAAACUGGUGGUAAAACCGCAUGGUGUUGUUGAAUGGCAUCAUUUAGCAACUAAAGAAUACACUCUAAGAUCGGUGUGCGUCUGAUUAGCUAGUUGGCGGGGUAACGGCCCACCAAGGCGACGAUCAGUAGGGGGUGUGAGAGCAUGACCCCCCACAUGGGUACUGAGACACGGACCCAACUCCUACGGGAGGCAGCAGUAAGGAAUAUUGG
rnacentral:rRNA from 1 species